GGUUAAGUGACUAAGCGUACACGGUGGAUGCCUAGGCAGUCAGAGGCGAUGAAGGGCGUGCUAAUCUGCGAAAAGCGUCGGUAAGGUGAUAUGAACCGUUAUAACCGGCGAUACCCGAAUGGGGAAACCCAGUGUGUUUCGACACACUAUCAUGUCAUGAAUACAUAGUGGCAUGAGGCGAACCGGGGGAACUGAAACAUCUAAGUACCCCGAGGAAAAGAAAUCAACCGAGAUUCCCCCAGUAGCGGCGAGCGAACGGGGAGGAGCCCAGAACCUGAAUCGGCUUGUGUGUUAGUGGAAGCGUCUGGAAAGUCGCGCAGCAAAGGGUGAUAGCCCCGUACACUAAAAUGCACAGGUCGUGAGUUCGAUGAGUAGGGCGGGACACGUGACAUCCUGUCUGAAUAUGGGGGGACCAUCCUCCAAGGCUAAAUACUCCUGACUGACCGAUAGUGAACCAGUACCGUGAGGGAAAGGCGAAAAGAACCCCGGCGAGGGGAGUGAAAUAGAACCUGAAACCGUGUACGUACAAGCAGUGGGAGCACCUUCGUGGUGUGACUGCGUACCUUUUGUAUAAUGGGUCAGCGACUUAUAUUUUGUAGCAAGGUUAACCGUAUAGGGGAGCCGUAGGGAAACCGAGUCUUAACUGGGCGAUUAGUUGCAAGGUAUAGACCCGAAACCCGGUGAUCUAGCCAUGGGCAGGUUGAAGGUUGGGUAACACUAACUGGAGGACCGAACCGACUAAUGUUGAAAAAUUAGCGGAUGACUUGUGGCUGGGGGUGAAAGGCCAAUCAAACCGGGAGAUAGCUGGUUCUCCCCGAAAGCUAUUUAGGUAGCGCCUCGUGAACUCAUCUUCGGGGGUAGAGCACUGUUUCGGCUAGGGGGCCAUCCCGGCUUACCAAACCGAUGCAAACUCCGAAUACCGAAGAAUGUUAUCACGGGAGACACACGGCGGGUGCUAACGUCCGUCGUGAAGAGGGAAACAACCCAGACCGCCAGCUAAGGUCCCAAAGUCAUGGUUAAGUGGGAAACGAUGUGGGAAGGCAUAGACAGCCAGGAUGUUGGCUUAGAAGCAGCCAUCAUUUAAAGAAAGCGUAAUAGCUCACUGGUCGAGUCGGCCUGCGCGGAAGAUGUAACGGGGCUAAACCAUGCACCGAAGCUGCGGCAGCGACGCUUAGGCGUUGUUGGGUAGGGGAGCGUUCUGUAAGCCGUUGAAGGUGGCCUGUGAGGGUUGCUGGAGGUAUCAGAAGUGCGAAUGCUGACAUAAGUAACGAUAAAGCGGGUGAAAAGCCCGCUCGCCGGAAGACCAAGGGUUCCUGUCCAACGUUAAUCGGGGCAGGGUGAGUCGACCCCUAAGGCGAGGCUGAAAAGCGUAGUCGAUGGGAAACAGGUUAAUAUUCCUGUACUUGGUGUUACUGCGAAGGGGGGACGGAGAAGGCUAGGCUAGCCGGGCGACGGUUGUCCCGGUUUAAGCGUGUAGGGGGUGUGACCUGGUAAAUCCGGUUGCAUACUAACCCUGAGGCGUGAUGACGAUGCACUACGGUGCAGAAGUAGUUGAUGCCCUGCUUCCAGGAAAAUCCUCUAAGCUCCAGGUAACAUUAAAUCGUACCCCAAACCGACACAGGUGGUCAGGUAGAGAAUACCAAGGCGCUUGAGAGAACUCGGGUGAAGGAACUAGGCAAAAUGGUGCCGUAACUUCGGGAGAAGGCACGCUGGCAUGUAGGUGAAGUCCCUCGCGGAUGGAGCUGAAGCCAGUCGAAGAUACCAGCUGGCUGCAACUGUUUAAUAAAAACACAGCACUGUGCAAACACGAAAGUGGACGUAUACGGUGUGACGCCUGCCCGGUGCUGGAAGGUUAAUUGAUGGGGUCAGCCGCAAGGCGAAGCUCUUGAUCGAAGCCCCAGUAAACGGCGGCCGUAACUAUAACGGUCCUAAGGUAGCGAAAUUCCUUGUCGGGUAAGUUCCGACCUGCACGAAUGGCGUAAUGAUGGCCAGGCUGUCUCCACCCGAGACUCAGUGAAAUUGAACUCGCUGUGAAGAUGCAGUGUACCCGCGGCAAGACGGAAAGACCCCGUGAACCUUUACUAUAGCUUGACACUGAACAUUGAGCCUUGAUGUGUAGGAUAGGUGGGAGGCUUUGAAGCGUGGACGCCAGUCUGCGUGGAGCCAUCCUUGAAAUACCACCCUUUAAUGUUUGAUGUUCUAACUCGGCCCC
rnacentral:rRNA from 1 species